rnacentral:lncRNA from 1 species
GCAUAAGAUUGAUGUCACAAUGUUGUCCAACAGGGAUGUUCCAAUUAGAACUAGGAGCAAGGAGGGUGUGAGAGGGCGGUGAGAAAGAUGUCUAGGACAGAGAAAGGGAAGUUGCAGUAGUCCACAUUCCAGUGCAAGCACAAGGAGGCACAGGAGAGGGAGACACUUAAGUCAAACACCUACCACAUUCAUAUCUACUGACACGCCAGCAUUGAUUUCAAGGAGAAUAUAUCCAUACCGCAUACAGGAAGAAAAUCAACACCAUGUCAAAAUUACACACAAGUGAGGAAACACAUCAAAUCUAAAUCACAAGGAAAUCUCAUUCCCAGUAAGUGGCCUAUGAAACGAAUUUCAAUAAUCUGCUGAAAGAAGCCUCUUCUCAUGUUUUAUGGGAAUAGAGAGAAAAGAGAGACUUCAAGAUAAUUAGGGAGAAAAGAGUUCUUACAUAUCAAGAAAAAUCUUCAAGACUGAAAUGGCACUUCUCACAGCAUUCAUAUGAACUGCAUAAA